UGGUUUUUGGAAUUUUCGUGU
rnacentral:siRNA from 1 species